GGGCCCAUAGUUUAACUUGGUAAAACACUGCCUUUGGUAAGCAAUAUUCGGGGUUCAAGUCCCCGUGGGUCCACCA
rnacentral:tRNA from 1 species